UAACGAGCUCUCCCCCCCAGGUUGCCCCCCGGGUUUCCACGGGGCCGGCUGCCAGCAGCGCUGCGACUGCGAGCACGGCGCUGCCUGCGACCCCGCCACCGGCCGCUGCCGCUGCCCCGCGGGUGUGCGCGGCCAGCGCUGCCAGGCAGGCUGCGAGGAAGGGACGCACGGGGAGGGAUGCCGGCAGCUCUGCGACUGCGUAGGGAACGCGACCUGCGACCCGGCCACGGGGCGCUGCCUCUGUCCCCCGGGGAAAACUGGCCCCAAGUGCGGCUCAGAGUGCCCGGCGAACAAGUACGGCCCCGACUGCGCCCUCGGCUGCGCCUGUGCCCCCCACAGCUCCCAGUGCAGCGCCAGGAACGGGCAGUGCCGCUGCCUCCACGGGUACAUGGGCCCGACCUGCCGGCAAGCUGUGCCAGCCCAGGUGCCCACCAGGCCCCCGCUGCCCCCAGGGGAGCUGCAGUGGAUGGAGCACUAGGUCUGGCCGCCGCCAGCAGCGCCCUCGGUGCAGGACCCCCUGGAGAAGCACAGGACCUAUUGCUGAACUUGUUUACAAGCCACACACAUUAAUUAGUUCCACCGUGCCAGACGACGCUGCUGCUCUGAGCGAGGCUGGAGUGCUGAGCACCACCAGGGCACCCGGGAGCUGCUGGGGCUGGACGCAGGACCCUGAGAGCCGGUGCCCCUCGUGCCGGACACCAGCAGUGUUUGCUUCUGCUCGGUGGCUGGGAAAUUGCUGGCCUUCACCUUUUGGGUUUGGGUGCUGGGUUUGGGGGGGGGGGGGGGGGGGGGGGGUUUGGGGGGGGUGGGGGUGGUGGGGUGGGGGGGGGGGGGGAGGGAAGGAGGUUUGGGAGGGGCUGACAUUAUAGCCAAAAAUAGGUAUUUAUGCAAGAAUAUUUAUGGGCAGCUGCACAGCAGCGUUGUCAAAGCUGGCGGGUGACCAUUCCCAGCUCUGUGGCGCUCAUGCCCAGUGUGGCACCACGGCACUUGGCUGUCCCUGACCCUGCAGCCACCCCGUACUGUAAGCUCCCGUUUGCCGUGGGAGAAGGUGCUGGGCUCUGCAGCCAAGAGCCAGUCCCAAACCAGGGCUUUGCCAGCCCACCUGAGCAUCCCACAUCGCCUGCUGCAGGGAAAAGCAAGCCUGAACCCGGUGCAGUCAGCGUGCUGCAUGGCACGGCACGGAGCGCCUGUGUGGGCUGGUGAAUGCACAGCCCUCGUUAGGUGUCCUCCUCUGUCCUGGCCCCUGCGACAUUCCCCUGUUGUGGUGGAAGCCCAGAGGCUGAGAAGGGGCCGGAGGAGCUGCCAGGAGCCGCACAGCCACAGUCAGCGAGCACGAGAGCGCUGCAAGGCUGCCACCUGCACAGCGGGGACAGUCACUGCCAGGGGAUCAGCCCCGUGACGGGGACCAGCAGCUGCCUCACCUGGCCCUGUCCAUGGAUUUGCACAAAGCCCCUGGGCAGACACGGCCCAGGACCCGGUGCUGUCGGGGGCACCGGUCUGCGAGCAGCAGUGGGACGCCCCCAGCCCUGCCUUUAAAUUAUUCCCCCAGGGGCCAACUGAAAAUAAUGAA
rnacentral:lncRNA from 1 species